rnacentral:lncRNA from 1 species
AAAGUUCAGCGUUCGAUCCGAGAUUCAAGUCGCAAGACCCUCGGAAGACGUUAUUCAAAUCCAAAUCAAAUUCGGAGAAGAUCAAGUCAACGACUCGUCUCUGAAAUUCAAAGUCAAUCAUAUAUUUUUCUUGAGAGAAGAAUCAGAGGAUUAAAUUAGAGUUUGUAACCCGCAAUAUUUAUUUUUAAUUCAAUAAAAUUAUCUUUGUGCAAGUUUUUCUUGUUUGUCUAAAUCGCAGAUAAGAAUUUGUUGCUACAAAUUUUGGCACGCCCGGUGGGACAUCUCUACCUCUCAUCUCUUCUCUCUCUCGAAGUUCCUCGAAG